GAGAGUUAAACAGUACGUGAAAUUGUUGAAAGGGAAACGAUUGAAGCCAGUCGUACCUUCGGGUAAUCAGCCUUUUGGGUGUGAUUUUGUGGAGCGUGAAGAGUUAAACGCCUUCAUGCCUGCAUAUUCGUGCACUUUGGGUGUACUUGCCCGUAUGGUUGGUUAACAUCAAUUUUGAUGGUCAUAAAAUGACUGGAGGAAUGUAGCUUCGAUCUCGUAUUGAAGUGUUAUAGCCUUCGGUAGAUGUGAUGAUCGAGAUUGAGGAUUGCAACGGAUACCCUUCGGGGCUACCUGUCUGAUCUCUGAUCGUUGCUCUGGUGCCGAAAGCUUGCUUACGGUUAUCAAAGUCAAUGGUCAAUAGGUUAGAACGGGUUAAAUUCGUUAAGGAUGUUGACGUAAUGGCUUUAAACGA
rnacentral:rRNA from 1 species